AGUGAACGCUGGCGGUAGGCCUAACACAUGCAAGUCGAACGGCAGCACAGUAAGAGCUUGCUCUUACGGGUGGCGAGUGGCGGACGGGUGAGGAAUACAUCGGAAUCUACUUUUUCGUGGGGGAUAACGUAGGGAAACUUACGCUAAUACCGCAUACGACCUACGGGUGAAAGCAGGGGAUCUUCGGACCUUGCGCGAUUGAAUGAGCCGAUGUCGGAUUAGCUAGUUGGCGGGGUAACGGCCCACCAAGGCGACGAUCCGUAGCUGGUCUGAGAGGAUGAUCAGCCACACUGGAACUGAGACACGGUCCAGACUCCUACGGGAGGCAGCAGUGGGGAAUAUUGGACAAAGGGCGCAAGCCUGAUCCAGCCAUACCGCGUGGGUGAAGAAGGCCUUCGGGUUGUAAAGCCCUUUUGUUGGGAAAGAAAAGCAGCAGGUUAAUACCCCGCUGUUCCGACGGUACCCAAAGAAUAAGCACCGGCUAACUUCGUG
rnacentral:rRNA from 1 species